UGGAAUCUCUCGCUGCUGAGUAGCCCAGCCAGAACUGUCUGCCUUCCUCUUGCACCACCUUGCAUGACACCAACGUCCAUCCUCUCUGCUUAGCCCAUGGACGACCUAGGGUGUGAUCGGUUUGCGCUAACUUUGGUGUCGAUGACCCAUGUUCAAGCUAGCCAAGCCAAAGUUUUGGCUUUUUUGACCGCUUCGGCUAAGAGAUAGCAAAUUUGUUAGCAAAAUGAGCAUUUCACUAGAAAUGGAACAUUCGGGGUGAUAAGCUUUCUUUUUCCAUGGGCAAAAUAGGUGACUCACAUGUUAUAAAAAAAAAAGUCGAUGGCACAUUGGAGACGAGGUCUAAAAGAAUCUAGCGGCUAACAUGAAUGGAAUACUCUAAGGUUUAGAUGAUAUAAUCGAAGGACUUCUUCUAGAAGAGAUCAAGGAUAUCCACAUCCACGGACCACGGGGCCAGCGAUCGGUUGAAAGUUCGUCAGCAACGUCCUCACGUAGGUCAGCAUCGCCGCCGACAUACAGUACAGUGCCCUGCUCCGAGUCCACCAGCACGGUGCACGUGCCCCUGCUCGUCGUCCACGUCAGCUCACUGCACCGGCUCCAGGCGAAACCCCCUGCCACGCCAAGCCAAGAUCCCAGCCGGCCAUCUAGAAGCUGGGGCCUGGGGGAUCACAAGCCGCGCACGACACCCUGCCCAACCACACAGGCGGCAUUGCGGCGUCCGGGACACGGCGAUCCCAAGACAACCACCACACGUCCCAUUACUACUAGUAUUCUCCCGCUCGGCGGCGCGUCCACCCACCCACCCACCCAGUUCUCGCUCCACACUUCUCACACCGACAGCGCCAGUGGCCAGCCAUGGCGUCGUUGAACCCGGCGUUCCCCGUCCCCGCCCCGGCCGACCCGGCCGACGAGGUCGUCCGCGAGUUCUGCCCGCUGCUCCGGAUAUACAAGAGCGGCCGCGUUAAGCGCCCGUUCGUGCCGUCGCCGGUCGGGCCCGGCNN
rnacentral:lncRNA from 1 species